CAUACUGAGCGAAAGAAUGGGAGGUGCGCAGUCUGAUUGUGCGCAUGCGUCGUAGAGCUACUGCAGGUCACUUCAAGGUGCAAAAGCUGGAGUGUCUGAGUCGUUGAAGGUUGAGUGCUUGAUUGCCAACGACUUUACAUUCUACAGUGGAUUAGAUCUGGAAAAAGAAACUAGUACAGAGACUUCUAAUCUAAACCAGUAGAUCCUUUAGGGGCAGAAGAAUGACACAG
rnacentral:lncRNA from 1 species